GCGAAGUUCGGGGCAGGGGAGGCGGUAAUACGAAGGUGUCAAACGUGGCGAGGAAUCAUGGGGCGACAAGCGCAAGUAGGCGGGUUUGCAAGUCGGACGGGAAAUCCCUCAGGUCAACUGAGGACGUGCAUCCGAAACUGCAAGGCUUGAGUGCUGAAGAGGAUCGCGGAAUUCCCGGUGUAGAGGUGAAAUUCGUAGAUAUCGGGAGGAACACCAGUGGCGAAGGCGGCGAUCUGGGCAGACACUGACGCUGAGGUGCGAAAGCGUGGGGAGCAAACAGGAUUAGAUACCCGGGUAGUC
rnacentral:rRNA from 1 species